GAUGAACGCUGGCGGCGUGCCUAAUACAUGCAAGUCGAGCGAACAGACAAGGAGCUUGCUCCUCUGACGUUAGCGGCGGACGGGUGAGUAACACGUAGAUAACCUACCUAUAAUACUGGGAUAACUUCGGGAAACCGGUGCUAAUACUGGAUAAUAUAUUGAACCGCAUGGUUCAAUAGAGCUACACGGUUUUCCUGUCUCUUUUAGAUGGAUUCGUGCCGGAUUAGCUAGUUGGUAAGGUAACGGCUUACCAAGGCGACGAUGCGUAGCUGACCUGAGAGGGUGAUCAGCCACACUGGAACUGAGACACGGUCCAGACUCCUACGGGAGGCAGCAGUAGGGAAUAUUGGGCAAUGGGCGAAAGCCUGACGGAGCCACACCGCGUGGGUGAUGAAGGUCUUCGGAUCGUAAAACUCUUUUGUUGGGGAAGAAAAAAAGUGGAAGUAACUAUGGACGUUCUGACGGUACCUAAAGAGAAAGCCACGGCUAACUACGUG
rnacentral:rRNA from 1 species